GGGCACAUAGCUCAGUGGUAGAGCGCUACGUUGACAUCGUAGAGGUCGUAGGUUCGGAUCCUACUGUGCCCACCA
rnacentral:tRNA from 1 species